rnacentral:rRNA from 1 species
GUGGGGAAUAUUGCGCAAUGGGCGAAAGCCUGACGCAGCAACGCCGCGUGAGUGAUGAAGGUCUUCGGAUCGUAAAGCUCUGUCGGCGGGAACGAUGGGAAGGCUGGCUAACAUCCAGUUUUCUUGACGGUACCCGCAAAGGAAGCACCGGCUAACUCUGUGCCAGCAGCCGCGGUAAGACAGAGGGUGCAAGCGUUGUUCGGAUUUACUGGGCGUAAAGAGCGCGUAGGCGGCUGUGCAAGUCGAAUGUGAAAGCCCACGGCUUAACCGUGGAAGUGCAUUCGAAACUGCGCAGCUUGAGUCACGGAGAGGGUGGUGGAAUUCCCAGUGUAGAGGUGAAAUUCGUAGAUAUUGGGAGGAACACCCGUGGCGAAGGCGGCCACCUGGACGAUGACUGACGCUGAGGCGCGAGAGCGUGGGGAGCAAACAGGAUUAGAUACCCGAGUAGUCC